GAAAAAAAGCAAUCCUUUUUUUUAUUGUUUUGAGAUUAUAAGAAUGAGACUCUCUUCAUCAGGGUCGAAUCAGCAAACUCAAGAACGUAUCUAUUUUUUUUUUGAACUCUUUCUAGUUGUUUCCUAAGUAUGGAGAUGUACAGACUUUACUCUAUUUUUUUACGAAAUUAUAUAAGAUUUCUGUAUAGGGGAGAAGAAAUGUUUGAAUUCAGAACUUUGGCAUGCAUGUGCGGGUCCUCUGGUGUCUCUUCAGCCUGUUGGAAGCCUAGUUGUUUACUUUCCCCAAGGUCACAGUGAACAGGUUGCUGCUUCGACCAACAAGGAAGUAGAUACUCAUAUGCUGCAUUAUCCAAGCUUACCCCCUCAGCUUAUCUGCCAGCUUCGCAAUGUGACCAUGCAUGCAGAUGUAGAAACAGAUGAAGUGAAUGCUCAAAUGACCUUUUAGCCUCUGAGUCCGCAAGAACAAAAGGAUGUCUACCUACGGCCUGGAGAACUGGGUGCUCCCAGCAAACAGCCAACCAAUUAUUUUUGUAAAACACUUACAGCAAUUGACACUAGCACUCAUGGAGGAUUUUCCGUUCCUUCCCGUGCUGCUGAGAAAGUCUUUCAUCCUCUUGACUACACCCAGCAACCACCAGCACAAGAGUUGAUUGCCAGGGAUCUUCAUGAUAAUGAGUGGAAAUUCAGAAAUAUAUUUCGAGG